rnacentral:rRNA from 1 species
UACGGAGGAUGCGAGCGUUAUCCGGAUUUAUUGGGUUUAAAGGGUGCGUAGGUGGUAGAUUAAGUCAGCGGUGAAAGUUUGUCGCUUAACGAUAAAAUUGCCGUUGAAACUGGUCUACUUGAGUAUAGUUGAAGUAGGCGGAAUGCGUGGUGUAGCGGUGAAAUGCUUAGAUAUCACGCAGAACUCCGAUUGCGAAGGCAGCUUACUAAGUUAUAACUGACACUGAAGCACGAAAGCGUGGGUAUCAAACAGG